rnacentral:lncRNA from 1 species
UCCACAUCUUAUUUAGGACCAUAAAGGCAAUACCACUACAAGUCUUUCAGAGCCACAACAUUAGUAGGCUUAGGGUGCCUCUAAUGUAUAUAUGGCUACAGUUACUAGAAACAUAGAUCACAACACCCAAGUUCCUUUGAAUACCUGGAAAGCCUUCCCAAGAAGGACUGGGACAAACAAGCCCAGACUGUAAAGACUGCAAUAAAUGCCUAACUCUUCAAUGUCCAGACAUCAGUGAACAUCCACAAGCAUCAAGACCAUUCAGGAAAACAUUGGCCUCACCAAAUGGACUAAAUAAGACACCACAGACCAAUCCUGGAGACAGAGAUAUGUGUCCUUUUGGGUGGAAAAAUCAGAAUAGUUGUUUUGAGGAAGUACAACAAAAUUCAAGAUAAUACAGAGAAGGAAUUCAGAAUCUUAUCAGAUAAAUUUAACAAAGAGAUUAAAAUAAUAAAUAGAAUCAAGCACAAAUCUUGGAGUUGAAAAAUGCAGUUGACCUACUGACGAAUGCAUCAGAAUUUCUUAACAGAAUUGAUCAAGCAGAAGAAGGAAUGAGUGAACUUGAAGACAGGCUAAUUGAAAAUACACAGAGGAGAAAAAAGAAUAAAAAGGAAUGAGGCACAACUACAAGAUCUAGAAAAUAGCCUCAAAAGGGCAAAUUUAAGAGUUAUUGUCCUUAAAGAGGAGGUAGAGAGAGAGUUAGGCGUAGAAAAUUUAUUCAGAUAGAUAAUAACAGAGAGCCUCUCAAACCUAGUAAAAGAUAUCAAUAUUAAAAUACAAGAAGGUUAUAGAACACUGAGCAGAUUUAACCCAAGACUACCUCAAGAUACUUAAUAAUCAAACUCUCAAAGGUCAAGGAUGAAGAAAGGAUCCUAAAAGCAGCAAGAGAAAAAGAAAAAAACAUGGAAUGGUGCUCCAGUACAUUUGCCAGCAGACUUCUCAGUGGAAGUUGUACAGGCCAGGAGAGAGUGGCAUGCCAUAUUUUAGUGUGGAUUAGGAACUUCAGCAAAGUAUUAUCAGAGGAACUGAGUGUCUCUGUACUUUAUUCUAAAUAACUAUGUCCUACUUACCCGCUCUUAGAAGGAAGUCAGAGGACACUUCUGUAGGUGAAAUAGUAUUCCCCCCUGAUUCAGAGAGAAGAGAGCAUGGAGGCAGAGCAGAAACUUCGUUAGCAGGCAUUCUGUCCUUUGGUUAAAAGAUAAAAGUGGCCAAGAUGUGGAAAAAGGAUAAUAAAACACAAAGGAAUAAGAGUUGUAUAACUCUGAGGGACGUAAAAGAAGUUAUAUUGGGAGCUAGUUUCAAGAUGAAAUACUAAUUCUAAGCCAGUCUAUCCAUAUGGGGAUGGGGAAGCCUUGGCAUUGUCCUUUUUCUGAUAACCUUUGGACCCUUUGUAAUAUUUUAUUUGACAUUUUAUAUCCUCUGCUUUGUGGGUGGGGGUUUAGUGGUUACUCUCCUGUUUGGAAAAACAAACUCAGAGAAGUACCUAGAACAGUGUGAACACUCAUUUCUUCCUCCAACAUCACCUGGGGUUCCUAAGUGCUUAGAAGAAAUGAAACGGGAAGCCAGGACUAUUAAGAUUGAUAGAAGAUUGACGGGUGCCAAUAUAAUUGAUGAACCUCUCCAGCAAGUUAUCCAGUUUUCCUUGAGGGAUUAUGUCCAGUAUUGGUAUUAUACACUAAGCGAUGAUGAAUCUUUUCUUCUUGAAAUUAGGCAGACUCUUCAAAACGCACUCAUUCAGUUUGCUACUAGGUAAGGACACGACAUUGUAUUUAUGCAGAAAAAUUUAGAUGUAUGGUUUGUACCAGUAAGGAAAACAACUUUUAAGGGGAGGAAUUGUUUAUUAAAAGGUAAGUAGAACAGCAGAUUAUUACUGUGGGAUAACUCCAAGAUUUUACAACUAGAGCUCUUAAAACCUUUAAAUUACCCCAGAUUUUAGGUUUUUACAGAAUGUUAUUUUGAUUAAGCCCUGCUUUCUAAGUCUGUUUGGUAGUUUUUUCUUUAGGGUCCAAAUCAGGUGACUUUUCAAAUCUGUUACCCCACUUAUUGCUACUUCCCCCCUCCCCCUUCCCUAGACCCUCUGUUUUAUGUGAGUGCUAUGAAAAUAGAUUAGUUUCAGUGUAACUGCUCUUCUCCACAUAGUUUUGCUGUAACCCUUCUCCUAAUUAUGACACAUAUCUAUUGGAAGUCCUCUUGGACGAGAAGGGACCAAAGGAACAUAAGUCAGUGGAAAAUAUUCAAGUUUAUAUUUUUCAGAAAAGAAGUAUAUUUUGGUGAGUUUGUUUUAACAAACUUUUUUUGUCAGAUAUACUAAAAUUCUUACUUUACAAACCAGCUAUAUACUGCUUCCCAUAUGAUGAAAGUGUUUUGACUUCUAUUCUUGUACUUAAACUGCUUGAUUUUUUUUGAUGGGAGGCUAUUUCACACCUGUUUAAAUUAUGUUUACUUUCAUUUUUAUUUUUGAAGGCUUUUUUUCCCCUCCAUCCUUGAUGUCUAACUUUUUGAAAGCCUUUUAAUGGGCAACGUUAUGUGAAAGGGAAUACUUGUGUUCUAGAAAUUAUUUAUUUUUGAAAGAAAGAUUUUAUGUUUGGAUGAGUUUGUAGAUUUUUUUUUUUUAUUCCAUUAAAAUAUGUUGCUACCAUCACACGCAAAGAUUGCCCUGCUAGGUAUUUCCAGCCAUGCUGCCCUCUCAGGCCCUUUCCUCUAUCUCCAUUGAUUAUAAAGCUUUAGAUUUGGAGUUGGCUAGAGGAAGGGCAUUGGAUGUGUUUCCCAACCUCAUUGGGGAGCCUGGCACAAGUUUUAUGAUUUGAACAAUAAUUGUUACAGAGAUAGAUUUGUACUCCUCAUCCCUCGUGAUUAGGAGCAAGAAUUUACAAAGUAGCCAGCCAGAAUUACAGAUGCAGACUCACUGUGGAACACAGAACAUAUAAUUGGUAUAAUCAAAGAAAGUCAGAAUUUGAAUUUAAUCUCUUUUAUUUCAUAUGCACCAUUAUUGAGUGUUAGGUAUUCUUUCAGAUAACUCUUCUAAAUAUUUUUUAUUGCUUUCUAUAGCAACACUAUCCUGAUGACUUUUUUUUUCUUUGAAAGGGUGAGAAUAGGAAGAAUUCAUUAUUCUUGUGCCUGACUAUUGAAAAAUAUAUAAAAAUGUGUAACACAUUUUAGACCUGGGAAGAGAUUUGAACUAGUAAUCUGAAAACUUGAGUUUGCAUUCUAGCUCCACCUCUAGCUAUGGGACUGUGAGCAAGUGUCUUUAAACUCUGAACCUUGGUUUUUCUCAUAUGUAAAAUAAGUGUAAUAAUAACUGCCCUGUUCUGUGUUCCUCUCAGGAUAAUUGUCAGGAUCAAAAUUCAUCUUAUUCAACUAAUAUUUUGGGCAUACUUUGUACCAACCAGAUGCUGGGGAUACAGCAGUGAAUAAAACAAAGUCCCUGCUCAGUGGAGUGAAAUGAAAUACCUGUGACAGUGUUUUGAAAAUUGUGAAGGAAUUUAGAAAUUUAAGUUUUUAUGCCAUCCAACACCCAUAAUUUUACUGAUGAGGAAGCUAAGGUCCAGAAAGGUAAAGUGGUUAGUCUAAUGUUAUCUAGUGAGUUAGAAUCAAAUUGUUCUUAAGUUUGGUAUUUUUUCUCCUACCCAAUUAAAUAUUUUAUAAUCUAGGUUAUUUAUCUUAGUUUCCUGCUCUUCUUUCCUGUUAUUGCAAUACUUUCCCUGUUUUUGAUCCCCUAGUCACCUUUCUUUUCACUGUAGGUAUUAAGUUUUUUUUUCUUUUGAAAACAUUCAGUGCUAUCAAGCUUAGUGAAAAAGCAAGGUUUUUUCCAUCCUACACUGAUCUAAAUUUAUAUCUUUGCUUGACCAUUUACCUUAAAUUUCUGGAAAAUUAAAACAAUACAGAUAAUAACUACUUUAGAGGCUGCUUUGAGGCUAAAAAAUGGUAUCAAAUAAAGUUCUUAGCGUGCAGUAAAA